GCCGGGGAAAGUACUAGUCAUCCCGCCCCCAUCUGAGGUGACGGGAAAGGGCCGGGAAAUUUCCCACUUUUGAUGAAAAUGACGGCUAGAGCGCUGACCCGCAAGAACCGGUAGAAUGUAGAGUAGACCUACCACUGCGCUUAACUGAGGCUCAAGCUGCAGGAGGCGCUGAGGUCCCACAGCUCCCACCUGUCGCUCUCCGCCGGGCGCCGAGACUGUGGCCGAGGGAGCUGCAUGGCGAUUGGAGGGAAGGAACAAUCAUUCUCGUCAGGGCCCACCCUCUUGCCACAGCCUGGUUGGAGGAGCGUGGCGUCAGUCAUUGCAGCCGUAGCCGCCUCUGGAACAGGAAGAACAAGAAAGAGGGAUAGAGAUUCAUUCUCCAAGUACCUACAGCAGCCAGGGCUGGACCAUACUGAAGCAAGGCACCUGGAGCUCCAGCCACGCGUCCCGUGUGGGCGGCAGGAGUCCCAGCACUUGGCCCUUCACAGCUGCCUCCCAGAGCGCACAUCCCAAGUGACCGCCUGGCAUUGCUGUGCCACAACAUCCGUGCCUUGGACAUUUCCAAAGGCUCGUUCAUCAGAGUGCCCAUUAGCAGAGAGCUGAACUGACACAGCGCUGGAACCCUAACCAGAACUCGUACAGGAUGACAGCAUCACAGGUAGUGGCUUAACCGGCACCACUAUGCCGGCUCUCAACAGUAAUUUCUUUCCUGAAAGCAAAUCCAUGCAAAAUAAUCUUUUCGUAUUUUUUAUACAAAUUGAGGAUCAGUCUUGACUCAAGUAACCAGUUAAAUUUUUCAUCAGUAUAAGAGAUGGGUUGGCAGGACACUCAAAGGUAGUGUGGAGUUUGAGGUGGGGGGAUUCUUAGUAUUAAGGUUAAGGGUCUGAGCUCCUUUUCUCCCAAAUACCUGAGACUGAUUCCACAAUCUGUGGCCGGCAAAGCCUCUCCUGCAAUUAUCUAGAAUGUCCCCCAGAGGGCAGUAUCUCUUCAUUUGCAAACCUUUGUCUUGGAUCAUCCUCAGGUAUUAACAAAGGAUAACUUUAAAUAGCAACUCUGUGGCCAUCUUUCUUUUUUCUUUCUUCCAUUCUUUUUUCAGUUUUAUGUACUUAUUUGAAAUUGAGAGUGACAAAGAUCUUCUGUCCACUGGUUCUGCAAACGUCCACAACAGCCUUAGUUGGCCCAGGCCUAAGCCAGGAGCUCCAGCCAGCUCUCCCACAUGUAUAACAGGG